AGUAAGUGACUUGAUCUCGGCGCUGGCAGAUGGUGGAGCUAUCAGAGCUGCAGCUGCCUUGGCUGCACACAUCCCUCUCGAGGGAGCUUUCCAGUCAUUUAGCUCCACUGCGGACUCAGAGCCAAAAUUAACAGUCUCCGGUGGGCCCUCAAAGCUCACCACCCACCCAAACACUCUGGCUUGCUGUCAUUCAACAGAUAGCCAGUGGGGAGCGGGGCCCAGACUCACCCUCCCUGCCCACCACCCGCAAGAGGAAACAGCACCACCACCUCUUGUGCCACAGCUGGGCCGGUCCCAGGAAGAAGCCAGCUGGGACUUGGAGUGACAAGCCUUCCCUCUGAUGUGUGUGCAGGGGGUGCCUGGUACAGAGGGACAGCAACCACAGAGCACUGCAGACGCCAAGACAUGACCUGGGAGAAGCAGCAGCCCCGGGAGAGGCUUAACUAGCAGAGCACUGAGGCCCACCGACAGCCAUGUGCAUGAGCUUGGAAGCACAUCUCCCCAACCCACCCCAGUCAAGCCUGCAGAUGAGACCUCAGCUGCAGCUGACAACUCGGCUACAACUUUGUGAGAGACCUGGAGCCAAAAGCACCUAGCUAAGCUGUGCCUGUAUUUCUGACCCACAGAAACUCUGAGAUUGUUCCAGCUUUUGCCAGUGGAAGCCCCUCCAAGAUGGAGAAGCUCUACUUUAAAUUCCAGGCCCCUAAGGAAAGCCUCUGGAUCUCCAGGCCUGCCCCCUAUCUCUACAGCCCAGAGGAGGUGACAUUAACCAGUGCAUCUGAGUGGUGCAGAGGAAAACUGACUUUGAUGUCCAUAUAAACCCAGUGCCCAGGUCAUGUCUGUUCUCCACUGGCAAUGGGCUGAGCAGAGCCAAGUUCUCAGUUAACUUCCCCAGCCCUCCCUCCUGCCUAACUCCAUUCCCACCCCCGACUUGAACUUCCUAAAGGCAGUGAGUGAGAUUAAAGGCUUGAUCAAUGAAAAC
rnacentral:lncRNA from 1 species